UACGGAGGGUGCAAGCGUUAUCCGGAUUCACUGGGUUUAAAGGGUGCGUAGGUGGGCUGGUGAGUCAGUGGUGAAAUCUCCAGGCUUAACUUGGAAACUGCCAUUGAUACUAUUAGUCUUGAAUACCGUGGAGGUCAGCGGAAUAUGUCAUGUAGCGGUGAAAUGCUUAGAUAUGACAUAGAACACCAAUUGCGAAGGCAGCUGGCUACACGAAUAUUGACACUGAUGCACGAAAGCGUGGGGAUCAAACAGG
rnacentral:rRNA from 1 species